rnacentral:lncRNA from 1 species
AGAACGAACUUCGUACGAACCUGAAUUGUCCGAUUUCAAGGACCAAUCGAUCUCGGAUUGAGUCCAAAACUUGGGGAACACCAUAAUAUUGUGGGAGGAGUCAUUUGGUGGGUUUUAAGUGAAAUCCAAUCUCUUCAACUACACAAUACACCAAGCACCCCAUUUCAGAACGAACUUCGUACGAACCUGAAUUGUCCGAUUUCAAGGACCAAUCGAUCUCGGAUUGAGUCCAAAACUUGGGGAACAUCAUAAUAUUGUGGGAGGAGUCAUUUGGUGGGUUUUGAGUGAAAUUCAAUCUCUAGAACUAUACAAUACACCAUCCACUCCAUUUUAGAAUAAACUUCGUACGAACCUGAAGUGUCAAAUUUCGGGGACCGAUCGAUAUCGGAUGGAGUCCAAAACUUGGGGAACAUCAUAAUAUUGUGGGAGGAGUCAUUUGGUGGGUUUGGGGUGAAAUCCAAUCUGUAGAACUAUACAAUACACCAACCACCCCAUUUCAGAACGAACUUCGUACGAACCUGAAUUCUCCGAUUUCACGGACCAAUUGAUAUCGGAUCGAGUCCAAAACUUGGGGAACAUCAUAAUAUUGUGGGAGGAGUCAUUUGGUGGGUUUUGAGAGAAAUUCAAUCUCUAGAACUAUACAAUACACCAACCACCCAAAUUCAGAACGAACUUCGUACGAACAUGAAUUGUCCGAUUUCAAGGACAAAUCAUAUCGGAUUGAGUCCAAAACUUGGGGAACAUCAUAAUAUUGUGGGAGGAAUCAUUUGGUGGGUUUUGAGUGAAAUCCAAUCUAUAGAACUAUACAAUACACCAACCACCCCAUUGAUGAACGAACUUCGUACGAACCUGAAAUGUCCGAUUUCAAGGAUCAAUCGAUAUCAGAUUGAGUCCAAAACUUGGGGAACAUCAUAAUAUUGUGGGAGGAGUCAUUUGGUGGGUUUUGAGUGAAAUCCAAUCCCCAGAACUAUACAAUACACCAACCACUCCAUUUCAAAAAGAACUUCGUACGAAAACUGAAUUGUCCGAUUUCAAGCCCCAAUCGAUACCGGAUUGAGUCCCAAACUGGGGACCAUCAUAUAUGUGGAGAAGUCAUUUGGUGGGUUUUGAGUGAAAUCCAAUCUCUAGACCUAUACAAUACACCAAGCACUCCAUUUAAGAACGAACUUCGUACGAACCUGAAUUGUCCGAUUUCAGGGACCAAUCGAUGUCGGAUUGAGUCCAAAACUUGGGGAACGUCAUGAUAUUGGGGGAGGAGUCAUUUGGUAGGUUUUGAGGGAAAUACAAUCGCUAGAACUAUACAAUACACCAACCACUCCAUUUCAGAACGAACUUCGUACGAACUUGAAUUGCCCGAUUUCAAGGACCAAUCGAUAUCGGAUUGAGUCCAAAACUUGGGGAACAUCAUAAUAUUGUGGGAGGAGUCAUUUGGUAAGUUUUGAGUGAAAUACAAUCCCUAGAACUAUACAAUACACCAACCACUCCAUUUCAGAACGAACUUCGUACGAAC